AUUUGUCACGAAUUUAACAAAACUGAACUGAAACUAAGGGAAUUCAAUUUCAUUAUGUGCUCCACUUCGAAGAUUUUCGGGCAUAUUUUAAUGCUUACAUAUAUUCUUUACAGGGAUGACUUCCUGUCACAAGGUAGUUGGUGAUAUUAGUGCACUUAGGAGGUUGUAUUAUAAUAUGUACAAAUUUUCUUAUUUCACAAAAAUAGUUUUGCACUUGGUUGACUCGGUUAAGUAAUAAUAGAAGAAGGAAGUAUGUAAUGCAUGAAUCAUAAUAAAAUAAUGGCCUAAUUAAGCAACAAGAUCCUUUAGUUUACCUUAGGUUUCUUGAAAUUUAUUACCAUGUUAAUAUUCUGGGGUAAAAAGUAAGUGAAAGAUUAUUGUGCGAUUUUAUGUUCAUCUGUCCUGUGUUAGUGGUUUUUUUCCUUGGUACUGUUCACUAAUUUAGACAAGUGCCUUUCUCUAAUAUGCCCUCAUUUUCAGGAAUGUCACAAUACACAUAUUUCAUAACAAUUUGAUCACCGGUGAAAACUCAUAUAGCAAACUCUCUCUUGUUGAUUUGAGGAGCUGUUUGAUUUAGCCAAUUCAGAUUCAACUGCCACUUCUCAGUACCAAUUCAGCAUUACCGUUUGUUAGCUCUAUAAUGAACAGGCUAGAGAUCUUGUCUUGAUUUUGCAAUGACUCCUUCUCAUUGAGGUGCAAGAUUUACACCUUAUUAUUCCUGGCUGUUUCUUUUGAGUGGAGCAGUGAUACACGCCCGCUUUCUUAUCAGCAGG